UCUCCUUCUCCCCCUACUAUAGUGCAUAUCCCACUCCGGCUUUCCUGCCCUCACCACUUCGCUGAGCCACCCACCAGCUACGCCACUCUCGAGUGUCCUCCCUACAUCUCCCUCCCGCGCUCGGGAGUACUCACAGCUGUCCUCUUCGCUCUCUCUUCUCCUCUGUCUCUCGCUCUCACGUUUCACGCCGUUGGCGAUCGGCGCGCCGGAGAGCGUCGACAGGCGUCGCGAAUUCACUUCUCGCAACUUCGGCUCCGCUCGGUCGGUUCCGAACGCCGGUCAGAGGAAUUCACCAGUAUGCGCCGCGCUGCCUUGCCGGCAAGUUGUAUGUAGUAGAUAGGUUUUCUUUCCUGAUCGUACGUGCGAGACGUCACUUCUCAAAUCACGAGGCAAGCGAUUCCAAAGUGUUUGCCCAAGUAUUUUUUAUCCGUGAUACGAAUAAGAACACGACUGCUAUCGGACGGUUCGUUCACGUGCACGAGAAACGGAGCGCGACCGGCCGCAGCCUAAUCGGGAAAGGAGUAUCCGCGCGGAGCGAUAGCUCGCCGGCGACGAGGAUCCGAGGGUAUCGAUGAGAGAUACCGGGAGGAACUGUCUCUCAGAGGCAACAAAGAGCAUCAAAGGUCACCGUCAUCGCGCUCGCGCCAUUGCGGUGGGUUCUUCCGAAAAUCACGCCGUCGGCCACGCAGAGUGCUCGCCGCGCAAAUCUCGUCACGACACAACGACGAGCAACCAUCAUCAGUGACGACGUAGAACGUGGAUUCAGCCGCUCGUGCGACGGGCCAAGUUCCUAUCAAAACAUGGCCACGUGACCCUCGGACGGCACGGAUUGUAAACACAGAGUUUGACCACGUGGUCUGCUCCCCCUCUUCGCCGCGCCGGGCGCCUAUCUGUUACUCUGUCUCUCUCUCUCUCUCUCUCUCUUUCGACUGCCUUCUCUCCAUCCUGCUCUCUCUCUCUCUCUCUUGUUGCACACUAUUCCCCGCCGUCGUUAUCCUCCUCCGACUCUCUCGCUCGUGCGCGCUCUUUCGGCACGCAGAACGCAGCUCGGUAGAAUCCUCAGUUGGUUCGCCGCCGUCGUCAGCCACACGCGAGUAUACAAUCGCAGUCGGUCUGCUGCUCUCCGUGAACCUGUUGUCGAACGUCGCUCAGUUUGGAGCUUCGUCUCCCGCGAGCGCCGAUCCGCGCCGCGCAUCGUGUCGCGCCGCGUAUAAAAUUCGUAGCGAUUUCACGCUGGUGAUGUGUUGAAGAACUGCAGUGCUUGAAGAAACAGAAACACAGCGGCACACACAUACACACACGUACAUACACACACACGCAUAUACACACUGAGAGACCAAUCCGGCGUGAACGAGCGCUGCGACGAGCGCUACCACGAGCGGUGCCACGAGCCUUCGCCGAGGACGUACGAAGGCCGUCGCUGACACAUACACACACACGCGCGUUACAUACAUAUACACGUCUAGUGAUAGUGCGAUCGAAACGCGACAACCUAAGUCGUCUCGCUCGCGCGUGAACGGGUUUUCUCAGUGCCCAACGCCGUCGAUCGCCGAUCGUACGUUGCCGAUCACCGCGGAGUUUCGUAUCCGUCCCGUGGACUCUUUUAAGUUUGCACAGCAGCGCGCGAAAAUGAUGGAUUCGGGGCCGGCGUCAGGGUCGCUGACUCCGUCGCAGCAGCAGCAACAGCAGCAACAGAAGAAGGGGGUCUCCUUCGAGUUUCCGACCUCGCCGGACCUGGAGACCGGCUUCGAGCCGCAAACCAGAGCGCGAUCCAACACAUGGCCGCUGCCGCGACCCGAAGGAUACGUGGAGGGCAACGCGCCGGCCACGAAGGAAGGUGCCGAGGGCGGUACACCACCUCAUCAGACGCAACUCGCCCAGGGCGGUCUGUUGCCCGUGAAGAAGAAUUCGUCGAGAAGGAACGCUUGGGGAAACCUCAGCUACGCCGACCUGAUCACGCAGGCGAUCACCAGCGCGCCCGAGCAGCGGCUCACUCUUUCGCAGAUCUACGAGUGGAUGGUCCAGAACGUAUCCUACUUUAAGGACAAGGGCGACAACAACAGCAGCGCCGGUUGGAAGAAUUCCAUACGUCACAACUUAUCGCUACACAGCAGAUUCAUGCGAGUGCAGAACGAGGGUACUGGCAAGAGCUCCUGGUGGAUGAUCAAUCGUGAUGCCAAGCCGGGCAAGUCCGCCCGUCGCAGGGCCACUACUAUGGAGAGCACCGGGAGUCUGGAGAAGCGACGCGGUCGUUCGAAGAAGAUUGCUGAGGCCCUGAGGAACGGCGGACUACUGGCCGAGCCCACAUCUAGUCCCAGCAGCAGCGUCGGAGAGGGUCUGGACCUGUUUCCGGACAGCCCGCUGCCCGCCAGCGGAUUUCAACUUUCCUCCGACUUCCGCCCGCGCGCUUCGAGUAACGCCUCUUCCUGUGGCCGAUUGAGUCCUAUCCCGGCAGUUCUCGGAGAACCAGACUGGACGCCGACUUACGCAUCUUCUUACAGCCCAGAACAACAAUUAGCGGACACGAUUCUAGCUGGCAACCUGGCGGAAACGAUGAAACUGGAGCCCUACCAAAUUUACCAAACGUCACCGCCGGCCGGCCACCAGCAACAAACCGGCCCGCCGCCGCCUUACUACGAAGCGCAAUACCAGAGGAACAACGGCCUACGCACUCCGUCGUCCGCAUCCUAUGGCCUGCCACCUACCCCGCAGUCGGCCAAUCAGCAGAGAUGCCCGAUCCACGGUCUGCAGCCGUGUGCCUGUCAGAUGAACCUGAGUCCCGUGUCCGGCAUGUCACCGUCGUAUCAGCAGAGCGAACCGAGCCCCACGACAUUGGGCACUAAUCAGCAACAGACGCUGCAAUACAUGAUUCAGACGCAACAGCGUCAACAGCAACAGCAGCAGCAGCAGCAACAGCGGCAGCAUCAGCCGCAGCAUCAGCCGCCGCAUCAGCCGCCGCAUCAGCCGCCGCAUCAGCCGCCGCAUCAGCCGCAGCAUCAGCCGGCACAGACUGGACCAGCUGGUCCUAGCCCGCCGAACACCCCGACACCCUGCCCCGCCACACCUAGCACUAUGAUGGGCCAGCUGAUGGGUGCGCUCAACCAUUCCGCCCUUCUCGACGAUCUCAACAUCAACAUCGAGGCGAUGCACGGCGGUUUCGAUUGCAACGUUGAGGAAGUGAUCAAACAUGAGCUGUCGAUGGGCGGCACACUGGACUUCAACUUCCAGCAGGGAGUGAUGGGCACCGUGCAAGUAAGCGACGGCAAUGUUGUCGGCCAGAACGGCGGCGUCGUCUCUCAGAACACGGGCGUCGUUGUCGGCACAACGACCGGCAAUGCACCCGCGGGCGUCUACGUGAGCACGAACGCGGCGACCCCCGCCGCUACCCAUUCGUGGGUUCACUAGCAGUUAACCCCCUUGCCCUCGACACCCCCGUCGUCCUUGCCGAUGCCGCCGUUGUCCGACGGAUCGCGAAAUAACUUCUGCGGGACGACCGAAGGGCAGCUCAUCGACGUUCGGCAUGCCGAGGACGAGAGGGUAAACCGACGAUUUGUGAUAAGAUAUAGACAUAAUGAUGCCAGAUCGCGACGAAAUACGUACUUCAAAAAUGCCAAUUUACGCUAGUGCAACUGUGGUGCGAGAAACUAAAACGCCACGAGCGCGAUCAACGUCGGCGAGGACUUCACCAUCGCUUCAUCAAACGUCUUCAGCUUCUUCCACAGCGAGCUGCUGCUCAAAAUAGGCCAGAGAUGUUGGCGACAACUACGAGGUUACGAGCUCUUGCGAUUUUACGAAAGUUUUCGCAACGAAUCAUUCGACUAGAUCAAAUUUUGGUGAAAUGUUGCAAAUUAUUAUUUCUUUGUGUAUAGAUAAUUUACAAAAAUUUUUGAAAACACUUUUUGUUUUGAAAUGUUGAUUUAGACUACAAUUUUACUCUUUUAUUAUUUUUUCGUGAAAAUGAUUUCGAUUAAUCCUUAAAUUCCGGACGGAAUGACAUCAAGAAAUCCAAUAUCACGUAUUAGAAAUUUUUAGAUCUUUACUUUUAAUUUAUAAUACGGGAUAUGUGGGUUGUGUUUAUUCUUAUUUAAAUAACUUAUUUGAUUAAUGUAAUAUUAUGGAGAAAAAAUAUGUAUAUUUUUAUGUAUAAUAUUUAUGGAUUCAUAAUAUAAUCCGGACUUUAAGGAUUAAUUUGCAUUUGAAUUCUUUUUAGAUAUUAAUGUCAUAAUGAGAUUGUUACAUUUUACAACAAGAGUAACAUCUCAAAGUAACGUAUUGCUCAAAGAAAUUCUGCCAAUCCAUAUCGACGUUAUUACAAUUGUAGCAGUUUGCUUUUAACGGAAGUUACAUCUUGCAAUUCAAAUGCAUCACCGACUCAUCAUAGAUUACUCGAAGAUCCAAGUCGAAGGGUCACUAGAGCCGUAAUCUCGCGUGUAUCCCGAUUCAUGAAGCGUCUGCGAUCUUCAAAAUCGAGGAUUCGAAUCGCCAAGACAUUAAACGCCGAAAUGAAUAAUUUAAGCACACGCGCUUAGAGCUUCGGUAGAUUGAUUUCGCUGAAGGCAUCGUUUCAACUUUUCCGCGCGACUUCUUCGCGCGAUUCCUUCAAAGUCCUUUCGAUCCGCGAUCGACGGCAUUCAAGUCAAUUUUUAAAGUCUAAGAUGAUAAACUUAGAUUUUUUUUAACGCGGCCGUCUCGCAAAACGCGAGCCGAUCCUCGAGCAGGCCGCAGUUGGUAUAUGUAAUCGAAUAACUACAUAUAAUGCGUACGUAUAUAUAUAUUUAUAUAAGGACACGGCGCGGUAAGUGCGGAUGGAGGGUAAGGCGGAAAAGGAACGAUGAAGGGUUGAAGGCUCGCCGACGUGCAACGCCGUGCGUACAACGAUCUCUGUUGUCUGUAACCUCAUAGUGCUCUAAGGCGCACGCUAUCGCUGCACAGUGCGCAUUUUUUAAAUCCGCCACGCGUUAUUAGCACAUUAUUUCUCGCUCUUAAGCGCCGAGCGUUCGAAACAAAGACGCGAAUUUGCGAAAUGUUGUUUUUUUUUUUUUUUUUUCUUUUUUCUUUUUAAUACGAGAUCUAUCUCGAUAGAUCUGCUCUAAAUGUGACUGAUUGCCUCUAAAUCCUAUUUUACCUCGAAUAAGGCACAUUAGCUCAUUUACGAUUAGAAGCGAGCAGCCACGUUUAAGCGAAAAUGGGAAGAAUUUUAUACUUUUAUGUUGCGAAGUGAGUUUAGUGAAGGACGAAUUAAUCGAGAGUUUUGCUGGGAGGAUCUAAAAUUUUGAAGCUGUGCUUUGAAAGAAAGAGGGACAAGCAUUAAUUCCGCGGGCAUUUCCGGGAUGGGCGCACUGUGCAAAGAAAUAUAAAUAUAUUACAUAUAUGCAGAUAUAUAUAUAUAUAUAUAUAAAUGAAUAUGAAAGAAAGAUAUACAUUAUUAUUGUACAUGUAAUUAAAUACAGAGGUGAAUACGAAAAAACAGUCGCUAGCAGCGCUAUAUAUAUAUAUAGAUAUAUAUAUAUAUGAUAUUAUAUAGAAAAUAUUGAAUAUACUCUAUACAAUAAAUAUU